GAUGAACGCUGGCGGCGUGCCUAAUACAUGCAAGUCGAGCGAACAGACGAGGAGCUUGCUCCUCUGACGUUAGCGGCGGACGGGUGAGUAACAUGUGGAUAACCUACCUAUAAGACUGGGAUAACUUCGGGAAACCGGCGCUAAUCCCGGAUAAUAUAUUGAACCGCAUGGUUCAAUAGUGAAAGACGGUUUUGCUGUCACUUAUAGAUGGAUCCGCGCCGCAUUAGCUAGUUGGUAAGGUAACGGCUUACCAAGGCGACGAUGCGUAGCCGACCAGCGAGGGUGAUCGGCCACACUGGAACUGAGACACGGUCCAUGCGCCUACGGGAGGCAGCAGUAGGGAAUCGUCCGCAAUGGGCGAAAGCAUGACGGAGCAACGCCGCGUGAGUGAUGAAGGUCUUCGGAGCGUAAAACUCUGUUAUUAGGGAAGAACAGAUGUGUAAGUAACUAUGCACGUCUUGACGGUACCUAAUCAGAAAGCCACGGCUAACUACGUG
rnacentral:rRNA from 1 species